rfam:Salmo salar isolate Sally breed double haploid chromosome ssa10, whole genome shotgun sequence.
AUCUGCCGCUGUGUCCUAUGGCUUUUUAUUCCUAUGUGAUGACAGAAUGGGCUCAUGUAGGGAUAGAAGCCACUUAACACACGGCGAGAG